UAGCCACUUAUCAUGUGCAUGCCAUGUGUGUUUUUAUGUGAUUCGGUUACCUCACUCAGGAUGAUGUUUUCAAGCUCCAACCAUUUGUCUAUGAAUUUCAUAAAGGCAUUGUUUUUGACAUCUGAGUAAUACUCCAUUGAGUAAAUGUACCACAUUUUCUGUAUCCAUUCCUCUGUUGAAGGGCAUCUGGGUUCUCUCCAGCUUCUGGCUAUUAUAAAUAAGGGGGUGAUGAACAUAGUGGAGCAUGUGUCUUUUUUAUAUGUUGGGGCAUCUUUUGGGUAUAUGCCGAAGAGUGGUACAGCUGGAUCCUCAGGUAGUUCAAUGUGAAAUUUUCCUAGGAAUCUCCAGACUGAUUUCCAGAAUGGUUGUACCAGUUUGCACUCCCACCAAUAGUGGAGGAGUGUUCCUCUUUCUCCACAUCCUCGCCAGCAUCUAUUUUUACCUGAGUUUUUGAUCUUAGCUAUUCUCACUGGUGUGAGGUGAAAUCUCAGGGUUGUUUUGAUUUGCAUUUCCCUUAUGACUUAAGAUGUUGAACAUUUCUUUAGGUGUUUCUCAGCCAUUCGGCAUUCCUCAGCUGUGAAUUCUUUGUUUAGUUCUGAACCCCAUUUUUUAAUAGGGUUAUUUGUCUAACUUCUUGGGUUUUUUGCAUCUUUUUAAUAUAAGCCCUCUAUCUGUUGUUGGAUUGGUAAAUAUCUUUUCCCAAUCUCUUGGUUGCCAUUUUAUCCUAACCACAGUGUCCUUUCCCUUCCAGAAGCUUUGCAGUUUUAUGAGACCCCAUUUGUCAAUUCUUGAUCUUAGAGCAUAAACCAUUGGUGUUUUGUUCAGGAAAUUUUUUCCAGUGCCCAUGUGUUUGAGAUGCUGGCCUAGUUUUUCUUCUAUUAGUUUGACUGUAUCUGGUUUGAUUUGGAGGUCCUUAAUCCACUUGGACUUAAGCGUUGCACACGGUGAUAAGCAUGGAACGAUUUGCACUCUUCUACAUGCUGACCUCCAGUUGAACCAGCACCAUUUCCUGAAAAUGCUCUUUUUUCCAUUGAAUGGUUUUGGCUCCUUUGUCAAAAGUAAAGUGCCCAUAGGUGUGUGGGUUCAUUUCUGGGAGCUGCCUUAUGUAUAAUACCCAAGAGCUAGAAGAAUCCGUAAUGGCAUUCAUCAGAGGAAUGAAUACAGAAAAUGUAGUACAUCUAAACAAUUGUGUACUACUCAACUCUUAAAACCAAUUAUCUCAAGAAAGCCAAAGACAAAUGGGAUGAUCUAGAAGAUAUCAUAAUGAUUGAGGUUACCCAAUCACAAAAUGGUAUGAAAUCACACAUUUUAUGAAAUCACCAAAAGUGGAUAUUGGCACAAAAGCUAAAAUUACCAAAGAUGCAGUUCACAGACAACUGGAAGCUCAAUAAAAUGAUACACAAAAUGUGCAUGCUUUAAUCCUUUUCAAAAGGUGGACACAAUAAUAUCUAUGAAUUUCGAGCAGAGACUGAGGAAAUCCCAUUCAGAGCAGGCCGUACAUGUGGCAAAAAUAUAUACACAUCAGUCACCAAAACUAGAUAAGAUUGAUGGAGCUAAGAAGUGCAUUGUGCCAGGGACUGUAUAGAGAUCUUUCCUGUGAGACACAGCUAGAGCAUAUCAAAUAAAGAAGUGAAUUCUAGAGGCAAAUCAGUGAAUUGAAAACGGACAGUAGGGGAGUUAUAGAAAAAGAGGAGUGGGGCCGGUUAGGGAUCAUAUGUGCAGGUAAUAGGGAAAGGAAAUAACAUUUCAAAUAUAGAAAUACCCAAUUAAAACAGGAAUAAAAUUUGCUAAAAAAAUAAAAAGAAAUAAAGAAAUUUAAGAAAAGAACACUGCGAAGUAUUCACAGCUAUUGACUCAGAAAUGUAAAAGUCAUUUUCAUGGAAUGAUAGUCAGAGUAAUACUAAUGGAAAGACUGAGAUGAUGAAGACUCAACUAGAAACACUUCUCUCUCCCAGAUAUCAGUAUCAGACAAAAACUGCACUAUAGGCAUCCAGAGCAUGGUGGAAUUUACUCUGAGGCGAGGACUCAAUACUUGUCUUUCCCUUCUUCCUUAGGACCAUUUUCUUCUUGACAAAAAGAAUAAGGCUAUGAGAUCUCAGCAAAACAACUGUGCCCUGCCCAUCACUUGGCUUUGGAAUAAAAAAAAAUAAUGAUAUAAACUCUUUGACUUCCAGGAAUGAUAUGAACAGGAACUGUAAGAGCAGGAAGUCCAGAUGCUUCUGAGAGGACCCCAGCUCCUAAUUCCCAUUUGUAGACGGCUGAGAUCAAGACAAUCUCUUCAUGAAACAACUCAACACCUACUAAGGACUCAGAGAGCUUUCCCAAGGACCUUUUUUGUACCAAGACAGAAGGACCAAAACCAUCAGCUUUAAAGAAAACUGUGCCCUUCCCAACACUUGGCUUUGGAAAAAAGACAUGAAUGAUAUAAAUUCUCCGACUUCCAGGAACCAUAACUAGCAGGGAAGUCCAGAUGCAUCUGAGAGGCUCCCAUCUCCUGAUUACCAUAUUUGGAAGGCUCCAAUCAAUACUAUCUUUUCAGCAAACCUUCUCAACCACUACCCAGAAAUGACUGAGAUUUCCCAUGGACCACAUAUUUCUUUUUUUUUAUAACAAAGCAGAAGGCCAGCUUCCUUCUUCCCAUCUUUGAUCACUUCAUCCUCUUUUUUCUCCUUCCCAAAGGCUGUUUAUGCUGAAUUAGAGGCCAAAUAGUAAACCCUAGAGGUACUGAAGGACUACUGGAGAGGCAACUUCUGUCAGGACAACACUUGUUUCAUCACAGAAGAAACUAGGGAUCUCCAGGAUACAACAGAUUUUUUUAGAUAGGCCUAAUGGUGAUGUCACUGAGAAUUGCCAUGGCCUACCUGCUAAAGUGUUUUCCUUUCAAUGACCAGAUUCGAGGGUGCCCUUGCAAGGUUUGUCUCCUGUGAAACAAUGGAAACCUUUUCAUACUACAUGUCUUUAAAGCUAGAAACUUCUCUUUAUUUCCUUAGUGGUUACAUGCUCUGAAAGGAAAAGAUAAUCAGGAGCUUUGCAUGGGUAGAAAAGAUCUCGGAACAUGGAGUGGAAGAGAUUCCUCUGGAUAAUAAUUUUAUUACCAGGUCCAUUACUGUGACAUACAGUUCAAUAUCCUAGGUUAUCUCUGUUUCCCAAAGGCCAGCAUUUUCCCUAUAAUCCUUUAAUUGAAUUCAUAUUUCAUUACAGUUUCUCAU